rnacentral:tRNA from 1 species
UCGAGGUGUAGCGCAGUUUGGUAGCGCACAUGGUUUGGGACCAUGGGGCCGGGGGUUCGAGUCCNCUAGCGCUGAU